rnacentral:misc_RNA from 1 species
GGAAAGUCGUAACAAGGUUUCCGUAGGUGAACCUGCGGAAGGAUCAUUAUUGUAUAGCCGAGGUGCGAGGGCUGUCGCUGACCCGAAAGGUCGUGCACGCCCGAGUGCCCUCACACACAUCCAUCUCACCCCUAUGUGCACCACCGCGUGGGUCCCCCUUUGGCUUGUUCGGAGGGGGGCUUACGUUUUCACACAAACUUUGUAUGCAGUGUAGAAUGUAUUUUUUGUUUUUGCGAUCACGCAAUCAAUACAACUUUCAACAACGGAUCUCUUGGCUCUC